GCUCAACAUUAAGAGCUGGGCCAACGCCCACGCCAACCUGCCUUCCGGGGCAAGGUGGUUGCCAAGAGCGAUGUGGCCCGUCAGGGCAACCAAGCCGGCAGCU
rnacentral:ncRNA from 2 species